rnacentral:sRNA from 1 species
CAGUGCCUUUUGCAAUUUGUUGUGUGGGGUUUUUUUUUUUAAAAGCCACACAAUAAUUUUGGAAAACAAUGUAUGGGUAGAACAUGUGUCUGUUAAUUGCACACAAAACCACUUUUAAUGGGUAUAGAGUUAAAUUUGGAGGAAUAAGUUCUAGCUGAAGUAUUAUGAACUCCAAAUAAUGCUUUGAGGACCUCCAAAGGGAUUAGUAGUUUACCUGUGGAGGUCCUCCAAGCAUUAUUUGGAGUUGAUAAUACUUCAGCUACAACCAAGCAGAAUCUCUUUUUUUUUGGAGGUCCUCGAAGCAUUAUUUGGAGUUGAUAAUACUUCAGCUUCAAUUUGGAGUUGAUAAUAUUUCAGCUAGAACCUAGUAGAAUCUGUUUUUUUCCUUUGGAGGUCCUCAAAGCAUUAUUUGGAGUUCAUAAUACUGAAGCUAGAACCAAGCAGAAUCUGUUUUUUUCUGAGGAGUAUCGGUAGCAUAAAUGUGAUUAUAAACAUAGUACACUUGAUAUAUGGAGGCAGUGACAACUAUUUUUACAAAAUUUAAAUCUGCAAAUGGAUUCAACAUGUUUAUGGGUUAUUAAAAUUGUCUGAUUUCUUAGGUUCUUUAUAGUACACGUGUUGAAAAUAAAUGAUUAAGAAUUGUUUCAAGAA